rnacentral:rRNA from 1 species
GACAGAGGAUGCAAGCGUUAUCCGGAAUGAUUGGGCGUAAAGCGUCUGUAGGUGGCUUUUUAAGUCUGCCGUCAAAUCCCAGGGCUUAACCCUGGACAGGCGGUGGAAACUACCAAGCUGGAGUACGGUAGGGGCAGAGGGAAUUUCCGGUGGAGCGGUGAAAUGCGUAGAGCUCGGGAAGAACAUCGGUGGCGAAAGCGCUCUGCUGGACUGCAACUGACACUCAGGGACGAAAGCUAGGGGAGCGAAUGGG